AGGCACAGUCUUUAAUCGAACUAUAUUAACAAACAGAUCUUUCUUCGAAGCCAAUUCUACUAAAAUCAACAUGUUCCGAUUCGUCCUUGUCGUUCUUGCCCUCGUCGCCGUGGCGUCCGCCCAGCUUUUGUACACUUCCGGUGUGAGCGGCCCCAACUUUCACAACGCUUUCGCCUCCUCUGCCUCCACCGGAAUCCGACGAUACGGAUCCACCGCUGGAUUGGCCUACGCCGCUCCAGCUUACGCCGCUAUUCCAGCCUACUAUUAAAAAUUUUGAAGUUUUGUAUUUCCAAAUUUUUGUUACCAUCUUGUCAAUAAAGCAGUGAUCUGAUCUGAACCUUUAAAAAAA